CCCUAUGGGGUGCACCAGGCCAGAAUCGUGGAGGACAACAAGGCGGCAAUUGCGACGGCGGUGGAAUCAGCAACGGCCAAUAUAAAAGAUUCCACGGCAAGGGCGGAGUUUCUCAAGCGGGCCGCGCUCAUGGCUCAAUAAACCGACAUCAGGAGAAUCAUGAAUGGUGACGAAACACCAACAAACACUUCCCGAAUGUGACCGUCGCAUGGACGCGAUUGAGGGGAGUGUCGCAUCUGAGUUGCGGCAUAUCGGGGAGAGAAUGGCCGCGCUGGAAUCGGGUCUCACGGGCCGCAUAACAGAAACGAGGAAGUGGAUCGAAUCAGUGGCCAAAAAGAUCGAGGGGAACGGAACUGAGGGGAUGGCCUCCCGUCUAUCGAGGGUUGAGGAAUUGGCGGGGGAGC
rnacentral:rRNA from 1 species